UGUUUGCAGAGCAAGUAACAGCCCCUGUCUUGACUGUGGAGUCUGUCUCAUCCAGUGGUGACCUCUGUAAUGUGACAGUGACCUGUAGAGCUGGUGACCUCUCUCUAACCUCCACCUGUGACAUCAGCACCUGCACACAGGAGGAACAGACUGCACCCUCCAGCCUUGCCAUCUUUAUUAAAGAUGGUGUCAUCAUCUGCAACCAUAGCAACCCAGUCAGCUGGCAUCAUGCUACAGUGGAAUUGGAGACGCUGUGCCAAAGUACACAGCAUAAGAAACAUCACUUUAAUCUUGGUGACAAGCAGACCCCUAUAUGGAUCUAUGUUACUGUUGCUUCAGGACUAGUACUACUCGUCCUCGUUGGUGGAGUUUUGUGUUUUCGAAAGCAUUCAAAGAAUCAAGCAGGUCGUUCUUCAAACGUUUAUCAGUCAGUUGAGAAUGUACUGGUCCUGAGUCCAGUGAAUGGUCCCUCCCCCAUCUACUCCAAGGUCCAGUCCCAUACCGGCCCCAACACAGACCUGGAGAAUCCACAGCCUGAGCACGUCUACUCAUUAGUGCCAUAGACAGACCCAGUUUGUUUUUUGUACAAUCUCUUAAAAGACAGAGGUGACUAAACAGGGUGUUAAAUAUUUAUACUUUACAUACCCUGUAUUAUAAGGCUUGAGAAUCUAAACAUGAGAAUGCCAGAUGAACACAUCUCUGCUGAACAAAUAUAUUGCACAUAUUUCUGUGUGUCCAAAUGUCUCUUGUAUUGUGAUUUUGUACUGAAUAUGCAUUUGUUUGUAUUCUGCUCAAGAGCUGAAGGAGCUUAGCUAGUCCUGAAAUGCAAACUAAUAUUCAUUCAUCCAAUGUCUGGCAUGUAUGGAAUGGGUUUCAAAUAACACAGGCAACUCUGAGAGAGUGAAGCAGGACACAUUUCAUGCACUGAGGUGAAGUGACCCUUGUGUCAUUGUGAGUAAUAUCAUGGUUGUCUUCUGGUCUGAGGUGUGAUGUGAUCUGGUUUAGACAAGUGAGCAAAUAUGUACUGUUUAAAGUGCUUUAAUAUUGAAGUUUUCAGAUUUCUUCAGUUCCACUACCACCAGUGAUUUGUUUCUAUGCGACAAAAUGUCCUGAAGGAAACAAAUGCUUUUUCAAUGUAAGCUAAUUCUCAUUUUGGUGCAACGAUACCAGUCUUGUUCCCAAAAUGAGAAUAUCUACACAUUUUAUAUGCUUGUAUUGCAUGCAUUUUACAUGUUACCAGACUUGUUUUAUAAUAGAAUGAUUGUAAUACAAACACAAGCAAUGCAGAUUGUAAUACAAUAAGAUAUUCUAUAUGACAACGUCCUAUAGACCCUUAAGAGAAAACAAUUUUGUGUGUGUGUAUGUGUUUGUUUAUUUGUUAAUUAUUUUCUGUCAUCCCUCCCCUCUCCUUCUUGUACUCUCCCAGACUGGCCUCAGGCAGUUGAGCUGGGUUCUGCUCAAGGUUUCCUCCUAUUAAAAGGGAGUUUUCCUUUCAACCACUGCAUGUGUGCUUGCUCUAGGGGGGCUCAGGCCAGGGGCUGUGUUAAGUGUUAUCAAGGGAUACACUUGUUAAUGGAGAUAUGUCAAUAAAUUAAUUUUAUCGAA